GCCCCUGUAGCUCAGUGGAUAGAGCGUCGGCCUCCGGAGCCGAAAGCGGCAGUUCGAAUCUGCCCAGGGGUA
rnacentral:tRNA from 1 species